rnacentral:rRNA from 1 species
UACGUAGGGGGCAAGCGUUGCCCGGAUUUAUUGGGCGUAAAGAGCGUGUAGGCGGUCUGGUAGGUCCGUUGUGAAAACUCGAGGCUCAACCUCGAGACGCCGAUGGAAACCCUCAGACUAGAGUCCGGAAGAGGAGAGUGGAAUUCCUGGUGUAGCGGUGAAAUGCGCAGAUAUCAGGAAGAACACCCGUGGCUAAGGCGGCUCUCUAGUACGGUACUGACGCUGAGACGCGAAAGCGUGGGGAGCGAACAGG